rnacentral:rRNA from 1 species
CAUAGCGGAGGAAAAGAAACCAACAGGGAUUCCCCUAGUAACGGCGAGUGAAGCGGGAACAGCUCAAAUUUGAAAUCUGGCCCUCGGGUCCGAGUUGUAAUUUGUAGAGGAUGCUUUUGGUGCGGUGCCUUCCGAGUUCCCUGGAACGGGACGCCUUAGAGGGUGAGAGCCCCGUACGGUUGGACGCCUAGCCUCUGUAAAGCUCCUUCGACGAGUCGAGUAGUUUGGGAAUGCUGCUCUAAAUGGGAGGUAUAUUUCUUCUAAAGCUAAAUACUGGCCAGAGACCGAUAGCGCACAAGUAGAGUGAUCGAAAGAUGAAAAGCACUUUGAAAAGAGGGUUAAAUAGCACGUGAAAUUGUUGAAAGGGAAGCGUUUAUCACCAGACUUUUUCUAGGGGGAUCAUCCGGUGUUCUCACCGGUGCACUUCCCCUGGUUGAGGCCAGCAUCGGUUUUCGGAGGGGGAUAAAAGCUUCGGGAAUGUGACUCCCUCGGGAGUGUUAUAGCCCGUUGCAUAAUACCCUUCUGGGGACCGAGGUUCGCGCAUCUGCAAGGAUGCUGGCAUAAUGGUGAUCAACGACCCGUCUUGAAACACGGACCAAGGAGUCGAACAUUUAUGCGAGUGUUUGGGUGUCAAACCCUCACGCGUAAUGAAAGUGAACGGAGGUGAGAGCCCUUACGGGUGCAUCAUCGACCGAUCCUGAUGUCUUCGGAUGGAUUUGAGUAAGAGCAUAACUGUUCGGACCCGAAAGAUGGUGAACUAUGCGUGGAUAGGGUGAAGCCAGGAGAAAUCCUGGUGGAGGCUCGCAGCGGUUCUGACGUGCAAAUCGAUCGUCAAAUCUGCGCA